rnacentral:rRNA from 1 species
GACGAACGCUGGCGGCGUGCCUAAUACAUGCAAGUAGAACGCUGAAGAGAGGAGCUUGCUCUUCUUGGAUGAGUUGCGAACGGGUGAGUAACGCGUAGGUAACCUGCCUGGUAGCGGGGGAUAACUAUUGGAAACGAUAGCUAAUACCGCAUAAAAUUGAUUAUUGCAUGAUAAUUAAUUGAAAGAUGCAACUGCAUCACUACCAGAUGGACCUGCGUUGUAUUAGCUAGUUGGUGAGGUAACGGCUCACCAAGGCGACGAUACAUAGCCGACCUGAGAGGGUGAUCGGCCACACUGGGACUGAGACACGGCCCAGACUCCUACGGGAGGCAGCAGUAGGGAAUCGUCGGCAAUGGGGGGAACCCUGACCGAGCAACGCCGCGUGAGUGAAGAAGGUUUUCGGAUCGUAAAGCUCUGUUGUAAGAGAAGAACGGGUGUGAGAGUGGAAAGUUCACACUGUGACGGUAGCUUACCAGAAAGGGACGGCUAACUACGUG